rnacentral:misc_RNA from 1 species
AUUGAAUAGCCGCUGCACCACAAUUGUAUCAAUCAGGGCCAAACAGUAGACAACCUAAAUUUUAUAAUAGUACUUCACAUCUUCACUGGAGUCUGAUUUAUAUCAUAUUUAACCGCAUAAUAAAGUUAUCAUAUAUGUUACUUGAACUUUGGCGGAUAUCAAAUAAUGGAUGUGGUGUUAAAUUUGGCUAUGUCCAAAAACUUUAAAAGAUUUUUUUCACUAAUUUAAAGAGUCAAAGUG